GCUCAGAACGAACGCUGGCGGCAGGCUUAACACAUGCAAGUCGAGCGCCCCGCAAGGGGAGCGGCAGACGGGUGAGUAACGCGUGGGAAUCUAGCCAUCUCUACGGAACAACUCCGGGAAACUGGAGCUAAUACCGUAUACGUCCUUAUGGAGAAAGAUUUAUCGGAGAUGGAUGAGCCCGCGUUGGAUUACCUAGUUGGUGGGGUAAUGGCCUACCAAGGCGACGAUCCAUAGCUGGUCUGAGAGGAUGAUCAGCCACACUGGGACUGAGACACGGCCCAGACUCCUACGGGAGGCAGCAGUGGGGAAUAUUGGACAAUGGGCGCAAGCCUGAUCCACCCAUGCCGCGUGAGUGAUGAAGGCCCUAGGGGUGGUAAAGCUCUGUCACGCGGGGAAGAUAAUGACGGUAACCGUAGAAGAAGCCCCGGCUAAAGUGGUGCCAGCAGCCGCGGUAAUACGAAGGGGGCUAGCGUUGUUCGGAAUUACUGGGCGUAAAGCGCACGUAGGCGGAUACUUAAGUCAGGGGUGAAAUCCCGGGGCUCAACCCCGGAACUGCCUUUGAUACUGGGUAUCUGGACUCCGGAAGAGGUGAGUGGAAUUCCGAAUGUAGACCUUCCAUUCGUAGAUAUUCGGAGGAACACCAGUGGCGAAGGCGGCUCACUGGUCCGGUACUGACGCUGAGGUGCGAAAGCUNGGGGAGCAAACAGGCUUGGGUACCCUGGUA
rnacentral:rRNA from 1 species